rnacentral:pre_miRNA from 1 species
CAUGUACUCCCUCCAUCCGAAAAUACUUGUCCUCGAAAUGGUUGUAUCUAGACUUAUUUUAGUUAUAUAUACAUUCAUUUUAUCCAUUUUGAGGACAAGUAUUUCUGGACGGAGGGAGUAUGCU